rnacentral:lncRNA from 1 species
UAACACUUAUGCUCCCACUAGCUUUGACAUGUACUCAGAAAUCAGCUGACUUUCUUACCAAAGUUCAGAUUUCUGAUACUAGAUUGUUUUGAUAAGACUUUAUCAAAAUCAUACACCUUCCCUUAGAUAGCACACUUGUGUAUCUAAACAAUUAUGAAGAGGGAUGCCGUAAUCAUAAUGGUUAGACCUUUUUGCCACUUCUCACAAGUCCAGGUUAGUGUGCCGGUAAACCACACACGCUCCACUAACGACUUUGAGAAUGCAAAUAUCACAAUUGCUAUCUAGCUAAAAUCUACUUAGUGAAAGUGUUUCCUCACCAUCAUUUUCAUGAAUCGGAGAGAAACCUUAUGACACUUAGAUUUAAUGGUGUAUGUGUUCUUAUCCAUGUGAAUUGUCAAAACCAUAGUCACAAGACAAGGAUAAUGACAAAUCCAAACUCAUAUGGAUUGAACUCAAUCUUAACUUCUUGCCACCUGGCAGCUCAAGGGCCUGCCAUUGCUUCCAAGUUGUUGUGCAACAAAUUGAGAACUCUAAGAACUCAUAUGCAAAGCCAACUUUAACUGGAAUGGGCACAGAAUAUGUCAACACGAUAGGUUAUAAACCUCAAGUUGUGUGCUAGUGAAGAACUUCAGGUUUUAUUCUUGAUUAGUUCUUGAGACUUUCAAGACCUUUAAGACUCCCACUGUCCUCUUGACAUAUAAGACUCCCUUGUCAAACAUCCAAGAGAUAGUGCGGAUUCUAAUCAAGAAAAACACUUUACCCAAUUGGCCUAAGUUGGUCUUUGUUUUAUCCAAAACAUCACAACUUACCAAUUUCAAAUGUACAAGAGUAGAAAACUUUUACUCUUACAUUUGACAAGUGUUUUAAACCUUCUUUAAGACAUGUCACUCAAAUGACAAUCUUGGAGUAUGACUCUAAGACUUGUAUUGGAACGAAGUAUGACUCAUCUUCUUGAUUUAACCAUUUCAACAAUUCAAGUUCCUCUUCUUAGUCAUAAGAAUGCACUAAGAUUUCCUUAGAGAACUAAUUUUGAUAUGGUUUCUUAAUCAUUAAGAUGAUCACAAAACUGAUACUAAAGUACUCUCCCAUCUUUUCAGAUUUGAGAAACUUUUAUCCUUCUGCCUAAUUUGAUUCUUCUUAUUCGCCCUGCCAUACAUUGGAACCUUUUCCAAUGUCUCAGAGUUACACUUAAGCUUGUAAGUAUAAUCAUAUUUACUGAGCUUUAGUAAACUAUGACGAAUAGUCUUAUCAAUCUUUUGUGGUGGACUUAAUCAGUGCACAAGAAUGUGUACUCGAUCCCUUAGUCCUUUACUUGACUCACACAUCCAUGUGGCCGAGUAAUUAGUCUUAAUUUUCCAAAACUUGAAAGUUCUCAUUCAUCAUGCUAUACAACUUGCAUGAUUCCAAGUUCCGGUCCAAUUGAAACUUGGGUGAUGAGAAUCUUUCCUUAUUUGGUAAAUCUAGACAUUACCACAAAUGAAAGAAUCAAUUUCAUAUUUCCACUCUUGCUCUUAAUGGAAUCAUAUAAGCAACAAUUUUUCCUCAAAAGCCAUUGUAAGGAUAUUUUAAAAUAAAUAAAAUCAAAAAAAUUUUCUUUUAUUUUAAAACUUUGCGGAAAAACUUAUCCUUACAAUCCAUAUGAAAACUUGUUGUUAUCUAUUCCUAAGCAAUAUCUCAUAACUCCUAAGAAGUUGCUCAAGAAUCCGAUCUUCAAACUAUGCGAUAGAAAUCCAUCUACGCCAUCAGAUUCAGCAUAUUCUUUCUUUAAGUUUCUUCACUUUUCUUUGAUUCUUAAAACAUCACCAUGUGACCCAGUCACAUCAUGUAUCAGGAAUCUCAGAAUAGAAACUUAACAGAGUUAGAUAGUGGACUUUACCUGAAGUAGAGUCAAACUUAUUGACUUUAACAUCCUUAGGUAAAUUUGGCAGCUUCGCAACCAAUGCCCCUUCCUUUGGCAAUAUAAACAUAUGGACCCUUUGAUAAUGGUACACGAGACUAUCACAGACUUAGCUUUUCUCUUUACCAUUUGGUCAACCGAGUUGACUAUGGCCGAUCCCUUUCCAUUGGGAAGAGAAUGCUUUACUGGAUAUCCAAUGUCAUCAUUGUCAAUGUCCAUAAAGUUUUAGGAAGUUGAUCUUAGCAAAUAGAUAAGAUCAUUAAGGGUCUUGUCAUAGUCUGUUUCAUAGGUGUCCCAAAGGAACUCACUAUGUGACUUAGAAAGUGAUUGAACCACCAACUUUCUCAAGACUUUGACACCCAACUCUCCCGGCUUGUCAAUAUGUGACUACAUCUCCAAGAUGUGAUCACACCUAGACCUUGCCUUGCCAAUAGGGCUUGAGUGACCUUAAACUUUUCAAGAACUUGUGGGUUAGGGAGAAUAAUUGGAGGAGGAGAAAGAAGUAUGAUAUCCAUGGGACAUCAUCUUCAUUAGGAAACCUUGUUUCAAGAGAUUUGGGAAGAUCAUAGGUGUCUAAACCAGACAUCUUUUGGGAGAUAUUCAAGAUAGUUGAUUUAAAGUCCUUAAUAUGACACCCAAUAUGAAAUAUUAAGGCUAGGACCCAACAAACUAUUUUAUAACUUAGAAGAGGUAUGCCGUAAUCCAAGCUAUAAAAUAUUUGAAGGUAGGUGAAUGACGAUUCACCAAUUUCCACCAAGAUAAACGAAAUGUAUUAUUAGGUUUUAAUUGGUUUUGAAACUCCUAGAUCUUUGAGAUUCAUUGAACUGUUCAAAGGCAUGUUUCAAUCUCGAGUGUGCCCUUCAGGUUUUGUGACUGGGAUGCCGAGGAUCACAAAACAAGGUGUGAAGUAACCAUGCAAAUCACUUGGUACCCUUAAUAAAUUACCCCUCAAUCGAUGUGCCGGUUAACCACACACGCUCCAUCGAUACUAUGAUAAAUAUUAAGUCACCCUUUACCUACCUUGUUAAGUCCAAGUUAGUGUGCCGGUUAACCACACACGCUCCACUAACGACUUAGACAAAGUGUAAAGUGUAAUUUCAUGGAUUAGCACCUUAUUCACAUUUUUCCUAAGUAACUAAGAUUGGGUAUUAUUAAGAGUUUAGUUACUUAGUAUUAUCAUUAAUACUUUUAAUGAAGGGAGAAUUCUAGUCCUGUCAAACCCGUUCGGCUAACGACCCUCCACCAGUCAAGCAAGCGGUGGGUGAGAGUGGACACCCAUUAAGUUGCCAUUUUAUAGGCAACAACCUUAUACCCACCUUAUAGACCGGCUUCGUGAAUGAGGCGUACUAGCGGUAAGACUGACUUUACUCUUAUACAUAUAUAUAUUAUUAACUUAUAAUAUUAUAAAGUAUAAGGGUUGAAUUUUAACUUUUAAAAUUCUAAGGGCUAACUUGGAAUUAAAGUAUUCAUAAGUGAAAACUUUACAAAUUCCAAAACUUGAGGGCAAGUUUUGAAACUAUUCAAAACUAAUUAAUUCCAUAACUUAUGUGUUUAAAGUAGUUUUAAUCCAAAAACUCUUCAAGUUCCAUAACUUGAGGACAAGUUAUGGAAGACUUUAAACUAAUAAAAGAAUUAACUUUUCUUUAUUUUAUAACUUAUGGAAUUAAUUAAGGUUACACUUUUUUUUUUUUUAUUUUAUUUUAUUAAAUGAAGAGACUCUUGGUCCUCCAUAACUUGAGGACAAGUUAUGGAGUCAUAAAACCAUUUAAUUAGAACUAGACUCUUCAUUUUUGUAACCUUUGCCAAUUUUUAUGAGUUUUAUGAUUCUUAAAUGUGACUUUUCAUAUAACUUGAGGACAAGUUACAAAAACACAUUUUAGAAUCAAUUCUUAGAUUAAUUUGGAUUAAAACCAACUAUCACAUAAUUUUAUUCAUUAAUCUAAAUUCACUCAUAAAACAAGGUAACACAAAAAACUUUUGGUGAUCCAUAACUUAUUCUUAAGUUAUGGAAUCCUUUAAAACAUUAACACCAAAUUUUGUAACUCCAAAAAAACUUUGAAUCAAUUUUUUUUUUAAAACCUUUUCAUAUCCAUAACUUAUGGAGGUUUCAAAAAAUAAAACUCUUUAGAUCAAACUUUUAAAACUAAUAAAAUAAUCAUAUUAUUUUAUCUUUUAUUAAAUUUGACCUAAUUCAACUCAUAAAGCAAAUUAUUCAAAUUUUACAAAUAAUUAGUUUUUCACAAGAACAAGUAAUUAUCUUAAAAUUUGACAAACUUCAUGUUUUUUUUUUUUUUUUUUUUCAACUUUGAAAAUAAAAUAUUUGCAUCAAUAUAACAGAAAACAACCCGUGGCUCUGAUACCACUGUUGGGUUUUGAGCAUUCUAACACUUCCUAAGUGUACAUGCAACCCUAAAUACCUUGGAUCUAUGUUUUCUCUAUUAUACAUGCAAAUAAGAACAUCCAAGGUAUUAUCCUAAUCUAGCAUACAAAAACUAUGAAUGUAACAAGAUAGAAUACAUACCUCUUGAUGUAGCUUGAUGUCUUCAAGCUUUAAGAGCUUAGCCCCAAUAGUGUGGAAGCCUCAAGUGGAAUCACAAAUCACCAAGACACCUUGGAAUACUUUAGAGAAUAUGAUUACUUGGUUCUCUCUAGUGAAAUUGGCUAGCCCUUCUUUAGUGUAUCCACACUAGUGCCAAUUUCACCAACCAAAGACAUCUUUAUAUAGUAUGGAGGAUUAGGGUUAAACCCUAAUACCCAUGACCUUUCAUUUCCUAGGAUCCAUGGGUUAAACACUCCAUGGACUAUCCAUGAAAGCUUAGCCCAACCUAAAUGAACUUGGCCCAUUCCAUAUAUAUAAGAGUCCAUAUUUAAUUAGUUCCUUUUGAUCACUUAAUUAAUUAUAAAUUAAUUCUUGAUCAAUACUAAUUAAAUAAUAUGAUUCCAUAUUAAUAUAUUAGAACUUAUAAUAUAUUAAUAUUAAUCAUAAACAUACUAUUCUCAAAAGAUUAUCCAUAUAAAUUGUGUCGGUGAAGUGCAACCCAAAUGGACCAUGCCGAGUUGGGUCAAGUACAUACCAAAUAUAGUUAUGGACUUAGACAUUAAUCCAACACUUAAUCCCCUCUAAGUUUUAAAGAGUUAAUUACCUCUUUCACAUGAACUAAGGUUUAUACACCUUGCUUGGACGCACGAUAUCCAACUAUGGGAAACGGAUAAAGGGGUCUUGUCACGAUUCAAUGGCUUGGCAACCCUCUUAUCUUUAAACAUAAGUUGAGAUCCUUAAGGUUUAUAACAUUUUCAUGUUAUCAAAGAUUGGGAUCUUGCCCCAGAAAUUACAUAAGAUCUAUAAAAUCUUCAUGUUAUCACAUGUUGGGAAUUUUCCCCAGAGAAUACAAUCAAGUUGUAACAUUUUCAUGUUAUUAUAAGUAAGGAUCUCUCCCAUGAGUUAUAUCACAAGUUGGGAUCCUCCCCAUAAUAUAACAUCAACAUGUUAUCUAUUGAAUCUAUGGUGUUACACAAUAAGAAUCCUUGCCAAUAAGGAUCCUCAUUGACCUUCAUUGGUAAAGAACUUCAUGUCUCGGCAGUGAACCGAAGUUCUCUCCUAUAUUGGAAUUUAUUCUCGGUAAAUUCUAAAAUUCAAAGACUUAUGAAGCUUAAAGAAAAACUUGAAGACAAUCAGGUUCCAUCUUUCCUUGUUCUUAACUUUGAAAUUUUAAUUAAAAUCAAAGAUCCUAAACUUUCUAGGAUCCUAAAUCAACCACUGAUCUAUGAACUUUCAUCAUUUAAAUUUAUAUCUUUAAAGAAGAUUUAAAGAUAACUACGUAGGGAUCUUAGUAUCGUGUUAUGCAGGAAGUGUAGAAAGAUAAAUGAAAGAUCAACCAUUAUAUUCAAAAUAAAAAGGCCUAAAACCUUACAAGAGUCAUGUGUUCACAUCAAAAAUAUUAUGCUACCCUAAUCACCUAAAAGGCCUAGACGUUAGUCUGGUCAUCAUCGACCUUCUUCUCUCUCCCCCCCCUCGGUCAGUCGUAGUACAUGAUCCUGGUUGGCGGUAGCAGGAUUUCCAGUUAAUUUGGCCAGUGCCUCUGUAAGUCCCUAAUCUGCCCGUGUAUCAGUCAGAUCGGUUUGGUGGUGCGGAAUCCCAAUCAAAUGGAUGAUGUUAAAUAAAAUAGAAGAGAAGAAGAAGAAGAAUAUGAUGAAUCUAUGUAUGUAGUGAUAUGAAUUAUAAUCCGGAUACAAAAGAUUCACACACGAUUUCUCUCUCUGGCCGUAAACUACUUCGUGUUCAUCAGAUCAUCAAUCUCUACUCCUCACCCUAACACCUCUAUUUAUACAUGUUGGAUAUGGGCCGAAAACAAAUGGGCCGUAAAUGAGUUUACGGCCGUAAACUCAGCCGUAAACAUGACCAAAAACUCCACACUUAUUACACAAAAAUACAAAUGCCCAUAAAAGUAAAGUAUAAACCAUAUUUUAACCCAACAAUCUCCCCCUUGGUUUAUAGCUUUCUUUUCUUAAUUGACCCAACAAGCUCCCCCUAAAAAGUAGCUGGCUCUUCUUGUCAAUCUUCAAUGGGAGCUUGGCUUCAUCUUUAAUCUUCAAAUUCUUCACGACUUCAGGAUGAACUUGAUGAAUCUUCAAUGAAAGACUUCAUCUUGAGCACUUGAGGUUUUCUUCAGAAUUUGGCAUUGAACCAACAUUGGGUGAGGAGGCUUGACGUACCGAUUCUUGAAAGAUGAUACUUUCAGCUUGAGAAUCUUCAGAGAGAACUUCAGAGAGAAAUAAUUUUCUGGAUCACUUCAGCAGGUACAAAGAUGGCAACAGACUGAUUGAGGAGGCUCCAAUGCAAUCCGUUACAUAAUCUUCAAUUUCUGCUUCACCUUGCUUCUGGGGUUGAAGGAUUGAAUGUUGAAAGAAUAAUCUUCAUUUCUUGCUCCUUCGAAUGCGAAUUCUUCGAUGCUCACGGACGAGGCUUUGGCUCAGAAAUCUUCAACACAAACUCCAUGAGUCUUAUCUAUACCUGAAAUCACUUUUCAAGACAAAAUAAAACUAAAAGAAAACUUAGCACACAAAUUAAAACAGAAACAAAAAUAUUUUUGGAUUUUUUUAUUUUUUUUCUGAACAAGAAAUAAAACAGAAAUACCACUAUUUUUGGAUUUUUAAUUUUUUUUGAUUUUUCUUUGUUUUUUUAUUUUUAUUUUCGUUAUUUUUAAUUUUUAAUUUUCCCCUAAUAUUUAAAUUAGAAGAAACUAUGACAAAAUUUAACAAAAAUAAAUUGAUAUCUAACUUUAAGAGUGAUUUGGGAUCAAAGUUUUUAGACAGCCUUUAUCCACUUGUCGGUACCUUCCAUAUUCACAUCUUUGUCUGGUCGAUCGUCGGUAUUGUUGUCCACUUAAACACGAAAAAUUGUGACUGAUUUAGGACAUACUAUUUGAUACAAGACAAGGUGAACUUAAGUUCCUAAAAAUUAUAUCUGAUCCUAAUUCCUUAGAUACUAUAUCUUAAGGACCAUUCAUCUGACGACGACCAGGGAUAUUGUUGUCCACCUAAAUUGAGCAGCGAGAUCUAUAGACAAUCUGUAUGUGUUCAAUUUUAAGUGUACUAGAACGUGUUUCCCGCUUCCUGAUAUGCCCCAGCCAUCAAGAACUUCCAGAGUACUCCUUACACCGGGUGAGCAGACAACCAUUCAGAGAGAGAGGAGAUUCAGAAUUCUAUUGCUAAUUACUUCAGAGGGGUUGAGAAGAAGAAGGUUGCAUAUGCUGUGUACCAGGUCGGAUUAGAAGUCACGCAAAGGAGACAACAUAUGGCUAACAGAUGAGAAGUAUUUCACACAUACAUUUCACACAUAUAUAUAUCCUGCAGAGAAAUAGAGUUGCAUAUGUUGUGUACCAGGUCGGAUUAUAAGUCACGUAAAGGAGACAACAUAUGACUAUUCCCUUCUUGCCCUUCGGAUUAUAAGUCACGUGAAGGUUGCAUAUGCUGUGUACCAGGUCGGAUUUUGGCCGACAUUCCCUUCUUGCCCUUGGGAUUCAGAUUCUUGGCCUUGGGAGUUGAAUUCUUGGCCUUCUGCGCGUUCUAGUCAUCAUUGUCUGAACGUGACCUGGAAGGGUUUCUUUUGAAGUAUCUCCCACUUGGCGCAUUUUUCCAUCCUUGUGCGCAGUAGGGAACGUAUGCGCGAUUUGGACAGUUUCUGGCAAUGUGUCCAGAUGUUCCACAGUGAAAACAAGUCUUUUUCUUCACUGUGAAGUUAUCUCUUCCUGCCCCUGGUGGCGUAUCCUUGCCUCGUUUCUUGUUGUUCCCACAUGCACACUUGCCACAAGAACUCUGUUGCGUUGGAAUUGGUGGCCUGUAUUUCUCAACAGCAGGUUUGUUAGAAGCAGCCGAGUUUGAAGCAACAGAUUUAGAGUUCAAGGAGUUAUUGGUUUGUUCAGAAGAACUCUCCUUGUUCUCAUCCUCUGCUACUUUACCUGCACAUGUAAUAGAAACAUCAAUAUUUUCAACAUUAAUAACUCCUUCUGACACAAAUCCAGCUAGUUUUCCGUAUUUAAGAUGUGCCUCCCUGUCAAUUUCUUCUUGUUUCAUAGGCAUGGAUGUGUAGUUAUGAUUGUAAGGAGGAGGUACACUAUCAUACCCUAGACCCUUGCUUUGAUUUUCUUUGAAUUUUAACUGGGUCUCAUAUAAGGACUCGACUGUCUGACUUGACGCAGUAUAAUUUUUGAAACUGACAUCAGUUUUUCCACACUUAAUUUUUAAAGCGUCAAGUUCUUCAGUUACAGCAGCAAGUUGACUCUUAACAUAAUCAUAAUUUUCACACUUGUUGCUGUACUCUUCCUGAAGUUUCCUAAAGUCCUUGGUUUUUGCUUCUAACUCAGCCUUCAGGGGUUUCUGUCCUUUCCUGAGUUGAUAUCCUUUAUAUCUCAGGUCCUCAACUUCCCUUUUAAAUAAAUCAAUUUGUUCCCGAAGAAAUUUAAUCGUAUCUUCACAUGAUUGAGAACAUGAAACUUCACAUGAAUGAGAACACGACACUUCAUUGACCGGAAGGUUUGCUGAACUCAUUGUUUUUCGACAAUUCAAAGCGUUAAGUUCUUCAAUUAUAUCAGCCAGACUAAGACGAUUGAGAUCUUUUGUCUUCUUGAUGUCAGCCACGUCCAUAUCCCACGAUUUUGGAAGUGAAUUCAAUAGCUUUUUGUUUAUCUCAGAUUUAGACAAGAAGAUCUCAGCUAUAUUCAUCUCGGUAAUAAGUGUAGUAAAUCGCUGCAACUGAGCUUCCAGCGUUUCUCCAGGGACAUAAUCGAAAAAGUUGAAAUUUUGUCUUAACAUAUCCUGACAACUUUCUUUCAUGUUUUCAACUCCCUCGUAGACCUUAAAAUCAAUAAUAAAAAAAAUUAGAAGCUAAAAUAAAAAUUAAACGUAAAAUUUAAAAUGCCCUUUUUUUUUAAAGUCAACCUUAAAAGUCAAAUUAAAAAAAAAUCAAACUCAAAAGUCAAACUUAAAAGUCAAACCGAAAAGCUAAAUUUGAAAAUUUAAAAAAUUAAACGAAAAAGUCAAAGUUUAAAAACAAAGGUCAAACCUGAAAGUCAAAAUCAAAAUUUGAAAUAAAAAGUCAAAAAUAAAGGAAAAAAAAUAAAAACAAAUUAUUAUUAAUAUUAUUUUAUUUUAUUUUUAUUUUUUUAAUUUUGGAUGAAAAAGGAGUUUAAAAUUAAAAGGAAAUUGAUUUUUGGACUGUUUUUGUCAAAUUUCGAAACUUGGAAGCGAGAAAGAGAUGUUAAGUUUAAAAAACCGAAGGUAAGAAACAAGGUGUUGGAUGGUUGAGUUGGGUAAGGCGCAGCUUGUUGAUUUGUAGGUCUCGGGUUCAAAACCCGCCGCCUGCACCUUCGCUUCCUUUUUAUUGAAGCCGAGCCGAGCCGUCUGCAAUGUGAGCUGCUGCUUAGCCGUGAUCCGAGCCGAGCCGCAAGCUCGAGAACCCUAGCCGCAAACGGGAAUGCCGCCGGCGGCCGUGAACUAAUUCCGGCAGUAAGCUCCGGCCGAAAACCUUUCAAAAUUACGUGAAAAACAGCGAUUUUUCGAUUUUGAAGCUCCAAAACUCGAUCAAAAACCCUUUUUUAUGAAAAACACAAAGAACAAACCCCCCUUAUUUUUGCGAGAUCUAUCCAAAAACGCAAAAAUAUUUCGAAAAUAAGAUCAAAUAAUGCUCCAAAUACAGUUUACGGCCCAGGAACUCGGAGUUUACGGCCGUAAGCUUGGACCGUAAACACCAAUUAUUCAGAUUCCAAACGAAACAAUAAAAUCUUUUGACUGAUACAACUUGGCUUUGAUACCAAUUGUAAGUCCCUAAUCUGCCCGUGUAUCAGUCAGAUCCGUUUGGUGGUGCGGAAUCCCAAUCAAACGGAUGAUGUUAAAUAAAAUAGAAGAGAAGAAGAAGAAGAAUAUGAUGAAUCUAUGUAUGUAUUGAUAUGAAUUAUAAUCCGGAUACAAAAGAUUCACACAUGAUUUCUCUCUCUGGCUGUAAACUACUUCGUGUUCAUCAAAUCAUCAAUCUCUACUCCUCACCCUAACACCUCUAUUUAUACAUGUUGGAUAUGGGCCGGAAACAAAUAGGCCGUAAAUGAGUUUACGGCCGUAAGGUGUUUACGGCCGUAAACUCAGCCGUAAACAUGACCAAAAACUCCACAAUUAUUACACAAAAAUACAAAUGCCCAUAAAAGUAAAGUAUAAACCAUAUUUUGACCCAACAGCCUCACGCCAACUAACCACGUCCCAGGAAUCUGCAUUUUUAAGAUCCUCCGCAAGACAGAUCUUGGCCUCCCAAACGACCACUGCAGCACUGACCUUCACAUCCGAGAUCACCUCCUCCAUCUCGUGUACGUGCUCCUCCUCUCUUUCGGCCUUCUCCUUACUGAGCAACUCCACCCUCCUCAAAAGAUCCUCGUUGGUCGUCUUCCAUAUCUUCUCCUGACCUUGAAGGGCUUGUUCAGCCCUCUCCACCCGAAUCCUUAGGUCGGCGGAAACAUGAUCAGAUACCUAUGAUAGAGAUGUAGUGAGUCAGCUAAAAACAAAGUGAAAAAUGAAGCGAGAGUAAAAUCAAGACUUAUAGACUGGGAGAAAGAGACCAACUUCUGGAGCGCUUCAUUAACUCCUAGGCUCUCCAAAGAUAAACCUGUGGAUUCAGCAAUUUUCCUUUCCGGGAUCCCGAAGUCUUCACUGUCAAGUCCACGGUUGAUCUUUUAGGAGGAAGAGAAGAAGAACUCUUCUCCUUCUUCACCAUUAGCUGAUCUCUUGACAUGGCCGUAUCAAGAUCAGUAAAAGUGAAGUGGGUGUGGGAGCGAGUGACUUUGGAUCCUGUAUAUCGUAAAAGACUAUUAAGGAUCUUUAUCACAAACAAAAAGAACUAAGGAUCCUUACCAGCCGACAUGAGGUCAGUGGCGGAAGAGCUUUCUUGCAAGGUACUUUGAUCGAAUCGGAAGGAUCUCUCGACUUCAUAUAAGGCCAAGAACUUCUCAAUCUACUCUUCAGAAUCCUCAGCGACAGGAGCAAGUUCCUCGAAUUUGAAGGCUGCAAAGAAACAAACAAAAUAAGAAUAAGAUUCCAAGAUCACAAGGAAAAGCAUUGAAAUCCUACCCUUCUUAACCCAAUUUGUGGGUAAGAGAUACCUAUUGGGAACAUAGUCACGUCUCACAAAGAGGUAUCUCCCUUUCCAAGCUCCAUCAUUGUGCUUGGUUUUCAAGACUAGAGGGGAUCUGAGAGUUUUGACCUUGAGGAGGAAACGAGAAUUCCCAAAGGUUGUGAGGUCAUAAAUGCAUGUCAAUUCAGAAAGGCUUAUUUCGAAGCCUUUUUAAUGGUUUUCCUGGUCGAUCCAAUAUAGGAUCCUCCAGACAAUUGGCAUGGCCUGGAUAUACGAAAUCCCAGACACCCUAGAGAAUUCAAAGAUGAUACCAGGAAAAGGAUAUCUCAAGCCCAAGGAGAAAGGGUACUCAGGAAAGCACACCCACAUGGGAGAAACGAAAUCAGGCUGAAUGAGAGGAUCGAUGGGCCUGGAAACAACUUCAGGAGGAAAGGCUCCAUUGAGUCUUAGAGACUCAAUGUCAUCAUCGCCAAAAGAACAUGCCUCCUCAUAAGGCAGGAUCCCUUGGUUGGUAAAAUCAUUUUCAGGAAGGGCCAAAAUGCUUUUAUGAGAGACAACCAUUUUUUGACCCAUGGUAGAAAAAAUAAAAUCCUGGAAGAAAAAAAUUACCUUCUAAUCGCAAGAUAGCACGAGAAGAGCAAAGAAAAACGGAUAGAAGAUUAUGAAACUGAUCACUCGUAUUUAUACUGGACCAAUGGAUAUGAUUUAACUAUUAACGACUAGUAAACUAUCCGUCGGAUUUCAAAUUACCUAGCUGUUAAGGGUUAAAAAUGAAAAUUACUAUUCUCUCUCCUUUUAUCUAUUUACUUUAAGUUAUUCCUUUAAUAUUUACGAAACUAACUCCUAUAUUUUCAGGAGUAAAUUGGGGGAAAUUUUUAGGGCCAAGAUCCUUACAAUAUUCAGGAUCCUCAAAUAUCCAUGAUCCUCAGCUACCUUAUGAUCCCGACUAAUUACCGUUAUUAUUUUUAUUAAUAUUUAUAACUGUCAUAUUUUGUCUAUAACUAACAUGUGUGCAGAAGUAGUCAAGGGAAGACCAAUUCUCAAUGAAGAAUCAUCUCAACUAUGCUAAAGACCCGGAAUACUUGGUCAAAUAACGUUCAUGAAGCUGGUCAUAGAGGAUCCCAAAAAUAUCGGACUUCUUGUUGGCUAGUUUAGACUAUAAAUUGACACUUGUAUUCUACACACAACACACUAUUUUUUCACUAUAAGCUUACUCUACAAAAUUUUUCACUUAUUCUUACUAAGAAUUCACUGUAAUCAUCAUUUUAUAUCAAUAAAAUUAGCAAGGCAGGUGCUCAUUAUCACCUCCCAAGGUUUUAUGUCGGAGAUCCUAGCAAGGAUCAAGGGCUUUCCUUGUAAACCAUUGUGUCACUCUCUUUUAUCAUUCACCAUUACACUAAUCUGAACAUCGCAACCCCUCAUUCAAAUUGGUUAAUUAAUACUUGUGUAGUUUUUGACCAAAAUAACAACAAAGAUGCAAGAGAAAUAUAGUUAGACCAAGAACUUUGGAAGAAUCCACAAUAAAUGCCUACUGCACUCGGAUUAAAAAUAUCAUUGAUUUACUUGAAAAUGUUGAAGUUGUUGUACUUGAGAAGAAUCUUGUCGACUAUACCAUUAAUGGUCUUAACCCUCGCUUUGAUCAUAUUGCUAGUAUACUUUGCCAUCACACCCCAUUUCCUACAUUCUUGGAAACCCGAUCCAUCUUGGCUCUUGAAGAGCAGACCAUGAAUCGGAUGGGUUUUGAGCAUUACAACACUCCUAUGGUGCACAUACAAACCUAUUUGCUUUGGAUCUAGCUUUUUCUCAAGUUAUACAUGCAGAUCAAUUUUCCAAAGCAAGAACCCUAAUCUAGCAUACAAUUUUUGUAUUUAAUAGUUAAACAAGAGAUAGAAGAAUACCUUUCUUGUUAGCUAGUAAAAACAAGCAAUCCUUUCCUUGAUCAUGACUUUCAAGAGCUUAGUGCCUCAAGUGUUGCACCUCUAAUGGAAUCACAAACACCACAAGCAAAGAAUGAGGAGGAGGAGGAGAGGCAAAAAUCGGCUUAGGUUUCUUUUAGGGAAGCAGUGGCCGAUUUCAUGAGACUAGGGGUUCUAUUUAUAGUUGAGGCUGAUAGGGUUUUCCACUAGAAACCCUAAUUCUCUUGCUUAGGCCCUAAGCAACACAUGGACCCCGACAUGGUAAGCCUUGGACGAAAACUAUAUGGGCUUCCCAUACAUUUUCGUCCACCCUAUACUAAUAGGAUCCAUUAGUCCAAACUAUUACUAUUACUGAUUUACAUAAUCAGUCCCCGUUCUUUUAAUCAGUCUCUUUUAAUUCCUGAUCAAUACUAAUGUAUUAUUCCUAUAAUAUAUUAAUAAACCAUUUAAAUAACCUCUUUCUCCAAAACUCAUUCUGUCCAAUUGCUAUGGUGAAGGCAAUCCAAAAGGACCAUGCUACUAUCGGGUCAAGUACAUACCAUUAUAGUUAUGGGCUUAGACACCUAAUCCAAAAGUCUCCCACUUGGAUAAGUCUAAUAACUAUAACUGUAAGUACGACUUCAAAAUCCGAUUAGCAAUCAUAGCUCUCAAAAGUCGUUGUCGAACUCUGACCUAGUCAUUGACGCGUCCUUUAGAUAAGGGAUCAUAUAAUCCUCCAUUCUGUAAGAUAUCGUGUGGAAAAAGACAUGGAACAUAAUAAUUCUCAAUGUCCAAUAUUUUGUUUCCCGACUUCUGAUUUGUUUGACAUAGAACUUAAUUGAACACAUCAAUUCAGUCCUGACUGGGCCCGACACAUAAGUCAACACAAAAUCAUCGAGGGGACCAAGAGAUCGAUUUUACCCUCUUAGGAUAAAAGGAACAGAUAAACGUUGACUUAUAUGCUUUUACUAUUUACUCAUCAAAUCGUACACAACAACACGUUUUAUAACGUCAAGUUACCGAUGCGUUUACGCAUUAUCAAUGCAAAAACAACUUGUAAACAAUAACUCAUAUAUCUCAGUUUAAAUAUUAUACGAUAUUAUUGUCUCACAAUCACUCGUGAUAAAUUCCAUGAAUUGAUUCACAUGAGCGUGGGUUUAAUCCAAUACUCAAAUCUUAUUUCAAGAGUACUCAUGAAUGUUGUAGAAAACCUUUGCUAUGUCUAAACACUUAGACAAUCUACAAACCAAUUCGUGACAAUCUAACCUCAUAACUUACUCCCAAAGUAUGAUCGACUGUGGAUAAUUUUAACAAUUUAAUUAUUUUGGAAGUAAAACAUGCAAAAGUGAAAUAAUAGAAAACAAUUGACACAAGAUAGUAAACUUUACUCAUAAAUAAUUCUCUAUUAAUUAAUCAUCAAAUGUCAAUUACAUUUAACUAUUACAAGUUUCUAAACAUAUAUCUAAUCACUAAAACUAAUAUCGUCCUUCAGACCAAUGCUCCUCGCAUGCUGUAAGUGCUUAACCCCGCUUAGACCCUUUGUGAGGGUAUUUGCUGGAUUCUCCUCUGAACAUACCCUCUUGACUACGAGGAGUCCCUCUUCUACCUGAUGUCUAAUGAAGUGGUAUUUUCUGUCGAUAUGUCUGGAUCUACCGUGAUCCCUUGGUUCCUUGGUUAUGGCAACCACUCCUUCGUUGUCAGAGAAAUCUUCAUAGGCUCCUUUGUAGCUAGUACAGCUCCAAGGUAUCCAAUGAAGAUCUUCAACCAUAUUGCCUCCUUAGACGCUUCGUUCGCUGCUAUGUACUCUAAUUCGCAUGUUGAAUCAACCACGGUCUCCUACUUGGAACUUUUCCAUGUAACUGCUCCUCCAUUUAGGGUAAAUACCCAGCCCGACUGAGAGCGGAAGUUAUCUCUGUCGGUCUGAAAGCUGGAGUCACUAUACCCUGUCACUCUCAAGUCAUCAGUCCCACCAAGUAUAAGGACCCAAUCCUUAGUCCUUCGCACGUACUUAAGAAUGUUCUUCACUGCUGUCCAGUGAGCUCUACCUGGGUUCCCUUGAUAUCGGCUAAUCAUGCUCAAUGCAAAAUCCACAUCAGGGCGAGUACAUGUCAUAAUGUCAUAGCAUACAUGAUCGAGCCACUGGCGGAAGCAUAUGGCACUAGACUCAUUUAUGCUAUCUCGACAUCGGUACUCGGGCUCUGAGUCUUACCCAGCUUGGUAUUGCUUUGGAUUGGCAGUUCCCCUUACUUGGAAUUCUCCAUGCUAAAACGUUUUAGCACCUUGUCCAAGUAAGUACUCUGACUAAGUCCUAUUAGUGUUCUACCCCUACUUCUCAAGUUCCGUAUCCCCAGAAUAUAAGUAGCUUCCCCUAGAUCCUUCAUAGCAAAACACUUCCUAAGCCAGGACUUAACCUCCUACAAGGUCGGGAUGUCAUUUCCUAUGAGUAGUAUGUCAUCAACAUGCAAAACUAGAAAUCUAACUAUACUCCCACUAGCCUUAACAUACACACAUGACUCAUCCUCGCUUCUCGUAAAACCAAACUCUUUGAAUUUCUCAUCGAAACAAAGAUUCCAUCUGCGAGACGCUUGCUUUAAUCCAUAAAUGGAUUUCUCAAGCUUGCACACUCUAUUGGGGUACUUUGCAUCUUGAUUGUCAUACAUGGACUGGAUCUCGUUGUCCAUUGCCUCUUUUAACUUUGCAGACUCUAGGCUUGCCAUGACUUCCUUGUAGUUGUUAGCUUCAUCCAAAUUUAUCAGAGUUCUAUCGUUGAUAAACGUAUCACCUCCAGCUGUUAUAUGGAAACCAUACAACACAGGUGGAACACUAACUCUACUGGAACGUCUCAGAGGUAAGGACUCAUCAACAGGUUCAACAGAAAUCUCUUCCUCAUGGUGAGUGCUAGUGUUAGAGGUUCCUUCACCGCUCGACUCUUGAAGCUCUUCAAGAUCAAUUUGCCUCCCACUGUCCUCUUGGCAUUUAAUUUAUCACUCGUGGAAAACCCCUCUCCUUUCUAUGAAGACCACGUUGUUACUAGGUCUGUAGAAAAGAUAUCCAAAAGACUUCUAUGGGUAGCCGAUGAAAAUACACCGCUCACUGGGAGGUUCAAUCUUGUUGUGAGUCUCUCAUCUUAUGAAAGUAUCGCAACCCCAAACCUUGAUAUGUGACAACGAGGGAACCUUCCCUGUCCACAUCUCGUGAGGUGUUCUGGCAACCUUCUUAGUGGGGACUAGAUGAAGGAUAUGGGUGACAGUCUCUAAGGCUUACCCCCAAAAUGAGAUAGGUAAUGAAGCUCGACUCAUCAUGGAACGAACCAUGUCCAAUAAGGUUCGAUUAUGCCUCUCAGCUACACCAUUGAGCUGCGGUGUCCUAGGCGGCGUCAAUGUGAAACAAUUCCACAUUCCUUAAGAUAGUUGUGGAAGUCGAUACUAAGAUACUCACCACCUCUAUCAGAUCUGAGCAUCUUUAUCUUCCUGCCUAAUUGAUUCUCCACUUCUUGCUUAAACUCUUUGAACAAAGGUUUCCGAAUUGUCCUUCAUUAAGUAGAUAUAUCCAUAUCUACUAUAAUUGUCGGUAAAAGAUUUAUUGAAGCGGUUAGCAUCCCUUGUGGCGGAUCUGAAGGGCCUAAACACAUCUGUGUGUAUGAGUUCCAACAAUCCCUCACCUCUUUCACAAGUUACAGUGAAAGUUGAUUUAGUCAUCUUUCCAAGCAAACAAAAUUCGCACGUGUCAUAUGACUUUAGGUCAAAUGACUCCAAGACUCCAUCCUUUUGGAUUUGGUCUAUGCACGUCUUGUUAACAUGUCCAAGAUGACAAUGCCACAAGCAUGCCUUGUCUAAACCAUUAGAUGAAUCGAUAUGCAACACAUUAUUUCCUAAGUUGUUUACAACCAUCACAGUUUCAUAUACACCAUUACAAGGCAAUGCUUCAAAAUAAAAAGUACCAUUAUAGAAAGCAUUAAUAGAACCAAUUUCAUUGUUAAACGAAAAUCUAAAACCUUGUCUGUACAAAUCAUGAAAAUAAAUAAUAUUCCUCGUCAUAUCUGACGAGUAGCAACAAUUAUUUAAAUCUAGCCCUAACCCACUACUAAGCACUAAAGAUUAAAUCCCGAUCUUGGUGACAGGCGAUGAUUUCCUAUUCACCAUUAUCAGGUUCAUCUUCCCAUGAUCCACAUCCAUACUUCUUCUUAUCCCCUAAGAAGGUGGGCUUUAUCUUCAUAUACUUGAUGUCCUGCAAGUAUUUAGAGCAUCUUCAUUUCCAAUGCCCCUUGUCGUGACAGUAGAAGCAUGUUGCUUCUUUGGGAUUAGAUGACGGAGUGGCAGAACCGGCUUUAAAUUUGGAUCCAUUUGAAGUAGAUCCAUCAUGAGACUUUCCCUUGUGGUUCUUGGAGGGAUCUUUCCUCUUCUUCCCUUUUCCAUGUCCUAUAGCAAGCACCGGGGCAGCAACAAUAGGGGUGGACUCGAUAGCUUUUCCUUUUAGUCCACUUUAAGUAGUUCUCAAUAAACCUUGAAGUUUGCACAAGGUGACUUCCUCCUUGUUCAUAUGAUAAGUCAUCUUGAACUGAUCAUAACAAGGAGGUAAAGAGUGGAGAAUGAUAUCAAUAGCCAACUCUUCAUCAAAGUUGACUGUAACGCCCGGUUCCUAGUAUGUAUUUUAAAUCAAUUUAUUCAUUUUUGUACAAGAACUCGACGAGUUGGAGACCCCAUACUUAUUCAGUAGGAACGGGAUUUGGACGCGGAACUUUAAGUCUAAUCGACGAGUUGAGGGACCCCAACUCGACGAGUAGGGCUGCCAGAUUGAAACCCUAAUUUUCAGGGUUUAGCACGCUAUUUAAACACCUUAACCUCCAAAGGAUGGCCUCAUAUACAGCCUCCAUCAUCUCAAACCGUAGCCACGAACCCCUAAUAUGUUUUUGAGACUUUUUAGUCAUUCUUGGUGCUUUCUUGAGGUUUUAAAGAGGAAGAGACUUGAAGAAGGAGCAAGAAAGUGAAGGAGAAGAGUAGAUCCAGAAGUUGAGCUCCAUUUCUUGUUCGUUGGAGGUAUAAAGCUCCUUUCUUGUCUAUUCAAUGUUUAGAUAUAAUUUUAGAGUGAUUUCUCCAUGUUUUGGUCCAAGAUUGCUAGCUUUUGAGACUUGGACAUCCCAAGUGAUCACUCUUUCAGAUAUGGGGUCUAGAAGGAGUUUCAUGAAAUAAAGGUGCAAACGUUAUGGCCAUGGAAGCCCCAUGCAAGCUUUAAGGUGUUAUUUUGGCCUUUUAAGCUCUAAAAGGCCAUGCGUGGAGGGAAAGUUAGGGACUUUACGUAUUUAUAUGGUGUCUAUGGCCUAGAUCUCAGUUGUUAUGCUUUAGUGUGAAGUAUUAUGGCUUUUGGGUCAAGUUUUGGGUCUUAAAGAAUUAGGGUUUGAGCUGAACCCAAUAAGAAGGCUUAUUAACGGGUAAAGUUGGAAACUUUACCCUUAAAAGUAUGUAGUGGAAGUAUGGAGCUUAGAUAUGAAGGAUAAGGACUUACGCCUCAACAGACUGAAGAACUCGUCGAGUCCAUAGAAGAACUCAAUGAGUUGGGUCGAAGAACUCCAAGUUUGUAAAAGGUGAAAAGUCAAUGAGCUCAUGGAUGACUCGACGAUUUGAUUGGAAAAAGUCCCGACGCUGUUAUUGGGAGAAACUUGACGAGUCCAUGAAAGAAAUCGACGAGUUGGAUCGCGAUUUCAAGAUUUUAUGAUUCAUGGAACUCAACGAGUUGAUGGACCAACUCGGCGAGUUAAGUCAACCAGAUCUUGACUUUGACCAGGGUGUUGACCUUGACUUUGACUUUGAUGAAAGUUGACCCUUAAGGGGUCAUGAGUAGGAAGGAUAAUUAAAGGAAAUGUUUACUGUAGGAGUCCGAGAGAGAUUGAUUUCAGAGCAAGAGUCUUUGCAGCUAUUUCCCAGUUAUCGAGGUGAGUUAGCUUCCAGUAGAAGUGGGUCAAAGGCACCAAUGUCGCCCCACUAGUAGUUGUUAUAGUUGAGAUGAUUGUCUUUAUGAUAAUUGUUUGGUAUGCCACUAUCUGUUAUGCUUUAUGUGCUAGGUUGCUAUGAUAUUUUGUGAUAGUGGUAGGGGGGGGGAAAUAGUCCCCGAUUACUGGUUGGAAGAGACCGAAGGGGUAGACAGUACCCAUAUAUGCCUAGCAGUAUGUUUAUGAUAUGUUAUUAUGUGGUAGUGGUAAGGGUGAAAUAGUCCCCGUAAUCGGUUGAGAUAAACCAGAGGGUAGGUCGGGCACCCAGAUAUGCCUGACAGGGGUAGGUUGGACACCUCGAUAUGUCUGAAAGGGGUAGGAUGGGCACCCCGAUAUGCCUAACAGGGGUAGGUUUAGCACCUCAAUAUGCUUAGUAGGGUAGGUCGAGCACCAUGAUAUGACUGAUAGUAUAUUUAUUGUAUGGUAUGUGGUAUGAUGGGUAGGGGGGGGGAACUCACUAAGCUUUGUGCUUACGGUUUUCAGUAUGUUUUGGUUUCAGGUACUUCUUCUUCGAAGGGAAAGGAGCUGGCAUGAGUGCAUCGCAUCACACCACUAUUUUCCGCACUAUGAUGUUCUUGGGAUUUGUACUCUGAUAUUAUUAUGACGUGUUUUGAGACAUAUGACUUAUGGUUUUUAUGAUAUGGGAUAACUCAACGGUGUCUUCAAUAAUCUGUUUUAUGAAUUAUUAAAUUAAAAAUGAAAUUUUUGGUCUUGGAUUUUGGGAUGUUACAUUGACAUUCAACUUGAGCAACUGAUCCACAUACCUUUGCAUCCUUUGCAAGUGGGUCAUGAUGGACUCUCCAUUUUUCAUCUUGGUUAUUAUUAAUGAGGCAACAAUCUCGUACCUUUCUUGACGCGCACUUUGAUGGUACUUUUCCAUCAAAUCUUGGCACAUCUUUUAAGCCUAGUAAUCCUCGUAGAACCGCUGCAGCUCAGGAGUCAUAGUGGCUAACAUUAUACAUGACACCUUUUUCAUGACCUUUUCAUGAGCCCUAUACUCAUCUAUCUGUUCAGGAGUAGAUUUAGAUUCAUCGAUCUCGUUCAGUUGCUUUUCGAGAACGUAUUCCUUCUCUUCGUAACACAAGACCAUUCGAAUGUUGCGAAUCCAAUCGUUGAAGUUGGAUCUGUCGAAGGUGAUCCUCGCACAAAUGUUCAUGAGAGAGAAGGAGCUUGAGGAGUUGGAGUUCGAGCCAAAAGUGUUGUUUGAGCCAGACAUUUGAAAAAGAAAAAUGAAAAAGUUUUGAUUAGAUAAAGAAUCCUUAAUAUAGCACCCAAAUGAAAUAUUAAGGCUAGGACCCAACACAAUAAUUCAUAAUUUGGAAGAGGGAUGCUGUAAUCCAAUUGCAAAUUAUUUGAAAGGUAGGUAGAUGAUGAUUUACCAAUUCCACCACGAAAAACGAAAUGAAGAAUUAGGUUUUAAAUGAAAUGAAAUUCCUAGAUUCUUUUGAGAUUCAUUGAACUUUUCAAUGACAUGUUUAAUCUCGAUUGUGCCCUUCAAGUUUGUGACUGGGAUACAGAGGAUCACAAACAAGGUGUGAGUAACCAUGCAAAUUAGCUUGACACUCUCGAGUCAUUUAACACCUAAUCAAUGUGCCGGUUAACCACACACGCUCCAUUGAUCUAUGAUAAUUAUCGAGCUACCUUUUUCCACCCUUGUUAGUUCAAGUUAGUGUGUCGGUUAACCACACACGCUCCACUAACGACUUGGCAAGGUGUAAAGUGCAAUUUCAUGGAAUAGCAUCAUUUUUACAUUUUCCUAAAGUAACCAAGAUUGGAAAUUUAUAAAAACAUUUAGUUACUUUAUAAGUUUCAUUAUACUUAUUAAUGAGUAAUUAAUGUCCUAUCCUACCCGUUCGAAUAACGACCCUCCACCAAUCAAGGAAGCGGUGGGUGAGAGUGGAUACCCAUUCAACCACCAUUUUAUAGGCAGUUUCCUUAUACCCCCCUUAUAGACCAGCUUCGUGAAUGAGGCCUACUAACGGUAAGACUGACUCAUCUUGUACAUAUAUNNNNNNNNNNNNNNNNNNNNNNNNNNNNNNNNNNNNNNNNNNNNNNNNNNNNNNNNNNNNNNNNNNNNNNNNAUAUAUAUAUAUAUAUAUAUAUAUAAGUAUUAAUCUUUUAGUAUUAUAAUAGUAUAAGGGUUGUAUUUUAAACUUUUAAAACACUAGGGUUUUAGAAUUUAUAUUUUAAAAUUAAAACUUUUUAAUUAAAUUUUAAAUUCCAAAACUUGAGGGCAAAUUUUGAAACUUUUCAAAACUUCAAGAUCAAAUUUUAGAUAAUCAAACUAAUCACAAAAUUUUGCACAUUAUCUUUAAAUUUGACCAUUAUCUUUUAAUUAGAUGAGGAUAUUCAUUACCAUAUCAGAAAAUUUGAAUUUAAUCAGUUAAAAAAAUUUAAGGUAAUGAUUCUUAUCUAAUUUUGGGCUAAAAUCCGAAAAAUCUGCCAUCAGACGAAUCCACUCGUCGAGUUGGUCCAACUCGUCGAGUCCAUCUGUAGACUCGCCGAUUUCUGCUGUCAGAAGCCGAAAAUCGAUCUUGUUCCAGCUUUGGAAAAACACAAUAGCAUCAAAUAUAACAGAAAAACACCCGAAACUCUGAUACCACUGAUGGGUUUUGAGCACUACAACAUUCCUAUGGUGCACAUGCAACCCUAUUUGCUUUGGAUCUAGGUUUUUCUUAUGCAAAUCAAUUUUCCAAAGCAAGAACCCUAAUCUAGCAUACAAUUUUCGGAUUUAACAGUUAAAAAAGAGAUAGAAGAAUACCUUUCUUGUUAGCUAGUAAUAACAAGCAAUCAUUUCCUUGAUCUUGACUUUCAAGAGCUUAGUGCCUCAAGUGUUGCACCUAUAAUGGAGUCACAAACACCACAAGCAAAGAAUGAGGAGGAGGAGAGGUAGAAAUCGGCUAAGGUUUCUUUUAGGGAAGAAGUGGCUGAUUUCAUGAGACUGGGGGUUCUAUUUAUAGUUAAGGCUGCUAGGGUUUUCCACUAGAAACCCUAAUUCCCUUGCUUAGGCCCUAAGCAACACAUGGACCCCCACAUAGUAAGCCUUGGACGAAAACUCUAUGGGCUUCCCAUAGAUUUUCAUCCACCAUAUACCAAUAGGAUCCAUUAGCCCAAACUAUAACUAUUAUUGAUUUACACAAUCAUUCCCCGUUCUUUUAAUCGGUCUCUUUUGAUCACUAAAUUAAUUCCAAAUUAAUUGUUGAUCAAUACUAAUUAAAUAAUAUGAUUUUUCAAUUAAUAUAUUAUUCCUAUAAUAUAUUACUAAACCAUUUAAAUAACCUCUUUCUCCAAAACUCAUGCUGUCCAGUUGCUAUGGUGAAGGUAACGUAAAAGGACCAUGCUACUAUCGGGUCUAGUACUUACCAAUUAUAGUUAUGGGAUUAGACACCUAAUCCAACAUAAUCAACUUCAAAACAAGUUAGCCACAAGUAAUCAUCAAUAAAACUCAUCAUCUCAUUCAAUUCUCAAUGUUGAACAUGUGAAUAAUAACCACAAUUCUCGUGAUUUUCGUGGCAACAACAACUCCCAAGGUGGUCGUAAUGGUGGUAGGAAUAAUCGUGGUGGUGGUCAUGGAAAUCAAUACAACUCCAAAAAUCAGAAACACGCCCCUCAUGGUUGGGGUUUCGGCUGGUAUCCCUAGCCAAUGUCAACUCACCGGCCUUAUGGAUUUAGUUUUGUACCUUUUUGGGUAGUCCCAAUGGAUAAAUUUGGAAACUUUAUGCUUCUGGACCACAUUAUAGACUAGAUUUGAGGUUUGGAGCUCUUGGAAUCGGAGAAAACAAAUUAAUGUAUUAAGCUGUGAAACUCGGGCGAACAUGACGUGGUGGCAAGCCAACACGGCGUGUAGCCGAGAUUUUUCUCGACUGAUUAGAUGUUGGCGGAACAUAGCGUGGCCACGGGGCAACACGAUGUGUUUGGUCAACAUGGAUUGUUGACUUUGACUUUGACCAUAAAUUUGAUCAGGGUUGAUCGUGGGAUAUUUUGGGCCAUGUUUGGGCCUUUUGGAUUGUAGGUUUUGGCCUUAGUCUUGGGCCAAAGUAGAUAAGGGGUAAAUGGUCUUUUUACCCUAAGUAUGGAUUGAAGGAUAUAGAUUCGACUCCAAUUUUUAAUUGGGUGUUAUUUGAUAUUGAUAGUUCAGGGGAUUGGCGGACCAACUGUUAGGGAUUAUCAUUGUGAUUCAGCAGUACGAGGUAAGUCUCCUUACUAUACUAUGGGUCGAAGGCACUAAUGCCAGCCCUAAUUGUUUAUGUAUUAUAGGAAGACCAGGGGGCGGCCCUUGGCAUUUGUAUGAAAGACCAGUAGGUUCCACCUGGAAAAUCUAUGUGUAAUAACAAAGUUUGGACUCUGGCAGUUAAGUUGAUAAGUAGUUGUAGAUUGUAUGCUAUUUGUCUUUGUGAUGCUUGCAUGAAAGACCAUGAGGUGGCUCCUGGCACUUGUUUGUAAGGACCAUGGUUUUGGUCCCCGGUCUGGCAAGGAAGAUCAUGAUACGACUCGUGGCAUAAUGGAAAGAGUAUGGUUGGCACAUGGCAUCUCCUCUUGAAUGUUGGAUAUUUAUGAUAUGUAUGACUUGUAGGUUAUGUAUGGUAUAUGGUAUUUGGGGAACUCACUAAGCUUUAUGCUUACAGUUGUUGUUUAUGGUUUUAGGUACUUCCAAUUCGAAAGGGAAGGGCCCGACUUCACUCUAACAAAGGUACAUGGACUCGGGAGCCACCGCCCAUCUUCACUCUAAUGAAGGUAUAUUUCAAAAUAUUAGUGAUAAUAACAUUUUUCAUCUUCAUAUGUGUUAGUUGGUGAUGGUUAUAAAUUCCCAUUCAUAAAAUCGGUCACUCUACUAUCUCCCAAUCCAACCCUUAUUGAACUCUUCAUCUUAAUAACAUUAUUAUUACUCCUUCCAUCAUAAAAAAAUUGAUUUAUGUUCGUCGUUUCACUCGUGAUAAUAAAUGUAGUAUUGAAUUUGACGCCUUUUGGUUUUUCUGUGAAGGAUUACCGAACCAAACAAACGCUCCUUAGAUGUGACAACACGGGUGACCUAUAUUCCGUCACCACCACCUAUCUGCAAUCCUUCCAUACCAUUGCUCCUUCAUUAUGGCAUCAAUGCUUGGGUCACCCGGGUCAACAUGUCUUCCAACAAUUAGUUUCCAAUAAUCGUAUUUCUUGUAAGAACCAAAAAGAGUCUACUUUAUGUCAUGAUUGUCAGUUGGGUAAACAUGUUAAGUUACCUUUUUCUUUGUUUACUUUUGUUACUAUGAGUCCUUUUCAACUUAUUCAUUUAGAUGUUUGGACCUCCCUUGUGGAGAGUGUUAGCGGUAUUAAAUACUAUGUUAUUUUUCUGGAUGGUUUUAGUCAUUUCUUGUGGGUUUACCCGUUACAUUCAAAAUAUGAAGUGUUUUCUAAAUUUUUACAUUUUCGAUCAUAUGUACAAACGCAAUUCAAAUGUGAUGUUCAAUCUUUCAAUGUGAUAAUGGUGGAGAAUAUAACAACCAACAAUUUUGAAAUUUUUGUGAUUCUAAUGGGACUCAUAUUCGAUUUUCCUGUCCCUAUACCUUUUAGCAAAAUGGUAAUUCUGAAUGAAUGCUCCACACCAUUAACAAUGUCAUUUGUACUCUUUUAUUGCAUGCCCACAUUCCACCCUCAUAUUGGGUGGAAGCCCUUCACAUGGCCACUCAUCUCCUUAAUAUUUUCCAUCCACCUCUCUCCAAAAUAACUCCCUUUACCAAAAACCCUUUAACCAAUCACCCUCCCACUCUCACCUCAGAGUCUAUGGCUAUCUAUGUUAUCCUCAUAUACCUACUCCACACAAGCUUGCCCCAAAAACCAUUCAAUGUGCUUUUCUUGGAUAUCUAUCCAACCAUCGUGGUUUUCGUUGCUUAAACUUAUCUACCAUGCAAAUCAUCAUUUAUCGUCAUGUUGUCUUUGAUGAAACCGUCUUCCCUUUCGGUUCCAUGACACCUAACCAACCUAUUUCCUAUUUGUUUCUUGAUUCCUAUGACUCUCCAAAUAUCUUCUCCACCAAAUUUCUCAUAUCCCUAUCACCUCAAACUCCUUCAUCUAUUGACCCCACUCCCUCCUUCCCUACCACUCAUGUAGACAUCACUUCUUCCUCCUCGGCAACGCCAUCAGUUUCGUCUCCUCCCUCUUCACCUUCCUUGAAUAAUACUCCUCAAUCUCACCCCUCCCCCUUCUUCCACUCACAAAAUGAUCACCAAAUACAAAAUUUGCAUCACUAAGCCCAUUCAUAAUCUAAAUCUCCACGUUGAUUCUAAAUCUCCUCUCCCUCGCUCCUACUCUCAAGCCUUUAAGGAUCAUUACUGGCUAUAUGUUAUGCAUGAUGAAUACAAUGCUCUUGUUAGUGAAAAUAUGUGGGUUCUUGUUCCUCUUCCUACGGCGGAAAACAUUAUAAAUUGUAUUUGGUUAUUCAAGGUAAAAUACAAUGUCAAUGGACCCCUCUCACGUUAUAAAGCUUGACUUGUUGCUAAUGGCCGUAGUCAAAUACCUGACAUAGAGUGUGAUGAAACUUUUAGUCGUGUGGUCAAUCUAGCCACAAUCCACACUAUUCUUAGCCUUUCUAUUACAAAUCAAUGGCCAAUUAAACAACUUGAUGUCAAGAAUGCUUUCCUACAUAACCAUCUUCAAGAAACAAUCUACAUGCAUCAACCUCCUAGUUUUCAAGAUCCGUCAAAACCUAAUCAUGUGUGCCUCCUACAAAGACCUCUAUAUGGUCUCAAGAAAGCUCCUCGAGCAUGGUUUCAUCGAUUUUCCAUGUUUAUUUCCAACAUGGAUUUUGUUAACUUCUGUUGUGACUCAUCGCUAUUUAGUUAUUGUCAUGGUUCUCACACAACUUAACUACUUCUCUAUGUAUAUGACAUUUUUUUGAAAGGAUCUUUAGAGGCACUUUUAUCUCAAAUUAUCUCUAUCCUGAGUGCCGAGUUUUCUAUGUCUAACUUGGGUGAUCUUCAUUACUUCCCCGGUAUCUCUGCGUCUCGUGACUCUCGAGGAAUUUUCUUAUUGCAGCAAAAGUGUGCCUUUGAAAUUCUGGAUCGUGCAAGCAUGUUACACUGCAAAAUGGCCUCCACCCCAGCUGACCUUUUCUACAAACUUGAUGGACCGAUACUAAAAUAGAAGACCCUACAAUCUACCGUAGCCUUGCCAGUGCUCUUCAAUAUCUUACUUUCACUCGCCCGGAUCUCAAAUAUGUUGUUCAACAACUUUGCUUAUUUAUGCAAGAUCCUCGAGAACCGCAUCUUGCAACUCUAAAGCGAGUCUUACGAUAUGUUCGAGGUACCAUAGAAUAUGGGCUUCGGUUAUAUUCCUAGUCUGAUUCGGAUCUCAUCGCUCGUCUAAUGCGGAUUAGGCAGGUUGUCUGUAUACCAAGUGUUCUACAUCAGGCUAUUGUGUAUUUCUUGGUGAUAAUCUAUUGUCAUGGUCUUCUACACGACAAGGUACCACAUCCUAUUCUAGUGUUGAAGCUGAAUAUCAAGGUGUUGCUAAUGUGGUCGCUAAAACUUGUUGGCUUCAAAAUUUAUUGAGUUAACUUCAUAAAUCACCAACAAAGGCACCUAUUAUUUAUUUUGACAAUGUAAGCGCUGUUUAUCUUGCUUCAAAUCCGGUUCAACAUUAACGCAUGAAGCACAUUGAAAUUGAUAUCCACUUUGUUCACGAGAAGGUUUCCUUGGGUCAAGUUCGUGUUUUCAUGUCCCCCCAUCGACUCAACAUGCAAACAUCUUCACCAAGAGUCUUCCGUCUUCGUUUUUUCUAGAAUUUCAUUCCAGAUUGAACGUUCGUUUCCCUCCCGUACUUACUGCGGGGGGCUGUUAGUGGUCUCAAUAAUUUUUUUUAUAGUUUUCGAAUAUUUUAUAUAGCCCUAUUUGUUAUAUCGGCCCAUUGGUGUAAGACCCAUCUUGUAUCUUGUAUAUAUUGAAUUUUAAUGAAUGAGAAGAGGAUUCACGGGAAACUUAUCUAAUUACAAUUACAACCAACAUAAAUGAUGUAUAUUAAGAGUGAAUAUGAACAAUAAUGAUGAAAUAAAUAGAAAAAUAAAUGGCUUGAAAAACAUUUGAAUACUUCAUAAAUGGAAAUCUUUUGGAUACAAUGAAGAUGUUAUCACCUUAUGAAAUCUUAUAAAGCAUCUAGAGGACAAUAAGUACCAAACAUGUUAGAGUACAAACACAAAUGUAUCCUUAGACCAAAAAUAAGGAAAAUUUAUCAAAUAACCAAAAAAUGAGGUGGGGUGAAAAUUAUGACCAAGACAAAUGGAUUUUUAUAAAAUAACCAAUGUUUCCGCAGAGACGGGCUCUGUUGAAUAGUUUCCCCUCUGAUGAAUUGGAAACUUGUGCAAAAAGACAAAAGUUGACAUAUAACGGGACGGUUCCGUAGAGCAGGCCUCUGCGGAAAUGGUACGACCUCUGCGGAGAUGUUAAUGUUCUAACGAGACAGUUCCGUAGAGCAGGUCUCUGCGAAAAUAGUACGACCUCUACGGAAAUGUUAAUGUUCUGCGAAAAUGUUAAUGUUCAGAUGCCAGCUUUUGUCUUUUUUUCACAAGUGUCCAACUCCUCAUAGGGGUAGCUGUUCCGCAACCUGUCUCUGUGGAAACCUUAGUCAUUAUAUGAAAAUCUGAUUUUCUUGGUCAUAUUUUUCAACAUCGUCUUAUUUUUUUGGUUAUUUGACAAAUUUUCCAUAAAAAUAUUAUGCUGAUAUAUUGAUCUUUAUGAAAAAAAUUUAAACUACAGCAACAGUCCUCGGUUCACUAUAGGAGAGACUUCGGGUAAUAGCAACCUCACUUGGCUAGAGAUCACGGUUGGUAUAGGUUAAAUUCUUUUUUCAAUAAACUCCCCUAAGUGACUAAAGCCACAUUCUUCACUACUCCUGUUUUUGACAAAGUUUGUGGCACGAUCCUACCAACCUCUUGUUUCUAUCCACGAGGUAAGAUCCACAACAAUUUAAUUCUUCACAUUAGUAUACAUUUGCUUUGCAUCAUAGGUCAUCUUGAUCAUUACCUUGAGUUCAUUGGUGAUACAUAUGCUUUUCUUUAAGCCUAAAAAAAUUAAUUAUCUCUAUUCUUCAUAGGAAUGACAAUGAUCUAAAGUCCAGGCUUGUUAGUAAGACCUUGGUGUUUGGAUUUUAUGUUAGGAAAGUUUUGGUUUGGUUUAGAAUGAGUAUCUUACCAAAAGACCUCAUAUAGUUCUCUAUCUUGUUUGCCUACCUCCAAUGCAUAACUCAACAUGAACUGUUUGACUCUAGCACAUGGGAACCUUUCAGUUCCUCAUGUUAAAAGGCUUGAUUCUAAAAGAAAUAACUGAGUAUGAGCAUAUCAUGUAAAUUCAUCAAAGGGAAUUUAGCUUCGUAUAUAAUAAGGAUGUUGUUAUCAACGCUUGUUAUAUGGAAUUGAAAGAAGUUUUGAAUUAUAAAUUUAUUAUUUGGAAAAUAGGAACAAGCUCUGUUGUUCAAAGACCAUAGUUUGCUUCUAAUUUUGCACGUAGCUUGUAGAAUGCUUCAAGUUGUUCACGUUCAUUUGGAUCUUGAGAUGCCAUAGGGAUCUUGUUGAUGAUUUGGUUACAGAUAUGGUAGAAGUAUGAAUUUUAGGACCAAGCAAGGUCUACUUGGACGUACUUAGAAUUAUGGGUGGAAAAAGUUAUUCUUGGAGCGAUGUCUUUGUUGGAUAGGGUCUUAGCCUUAGGAUGCCAAGGAGUGGAAAUACAAAAUAUGUAAUUCGUUGUUCUUUAUCCAUUCGAUCUUCUUUUUCUUUUCUUGUUGACUCGCUUUGAUUAAGUUUAAUAAUACGUUCCUCUUAUUCUAUCUGUUGUUGAAUCACAUCCCUUUGAUGAAUCUUUCCUUCUUAUUCAGGAAUAAGAGUUGAUAUGAUGUUUCCCUCAUAACUUUCUUGCUUCUCCAUUUGGAAAAAAUGGGUCUUUAGUGUAGAUUGAUCAACCUCAAUCUUCUUGUCUUUCUCCAUAUCUAAGGCUUCGGUUACUUUCGUGGAAACCAAUUGCUCCAUGGUGAUCAUAUAGUUUCUUCUACAUCAUCACAACAUCAUAACCAUCAUAGUCAUUAUCUUUAUCAUCAUUAAGUUCAGAAUCCACAAUGUCAUCAAGUUUCACCUGAUAUUGUUAUUCAGUUGGAUCACCCGAUUAUACUUUAUCUUGCUUUUCUGUUGUUCGGUUGGGUUCUUUAACUUGUAGAACUUCGAUUUGUAGGGAAGGAUUUGUAUCAUCAAUAUUUGGAGAAUCAUUGGUGGUAUCUUCAUUAAUGAUCAAAUUUUUCUUUAGUUCUUACUCUCCUCCUUUUACACCUAAGAACCUUGUUUCAUGUAUAAACUUAAGCUUCACCAAGUUAGCUGUCAUUUUGUUGAAGAAGUUCAUUGCCUUCUCAAGUUUUUUUUUAAGAUCCUUGAGCUUCAUUUCAUUAUCCAUUUGAGAAAUUUUUAUGUCAUUGGUAGGAUCUUUAAUAGUUUUCAAUAUUUUAGAUAUUAUGACAAGAUGUUUGUUUCAUUCUUGAAAUAAGAGGUCGGUUGAUUUAAACUCUUUAUUUCAAACCAGAGCUUUGACCCUUUCUCAUUUUUGUUUUGCAGCUUCUUUCCAUUUUCAUUCUAACGUCCUAAAUUCCAAAAUAAAAAUUUUCUUUUAAAAAAAUAAAUAAACACCUAUUUUUUUAUAAAGUUACAUUAAGGUCAAACCAUUGUUCUUAAAACAUAAUUCAAAAUCAGAUUUAUAACUAAAACAAUACGGAAUCUCAGAUCAUAAAACUGUUGAUGUGAGUGUGUAUGGUCCCCCAUUCGCAGUCCGAUGAGUACCUGGAAAACAUUUAAAUCCACAUAUGGAAGCCAAAGCUUAAUGAGUUCCUCCAAAACACCUCACAUAAGAAUACACAUACUCCCUCCGUCCCAAAAUUAUUGUCCACGCUUGACUUUUUAAGUCUCUUUUGUUCAACUUUGACCUUAAAUAAUUUACUUUUUGUUAUGUAGUUUUUUAUGCAAGAUAUAUGAAUAUAUUAUUUUUCAAAUGUAUUUUCAUUGUUAUAAGUUUUAUCAAAAAUUAUAUAACACAAAUAAAGUUAUUUAUGGUCAAAGUUGACAUAGAAAGAGUUCAAAAGUCAAACGUGGACAAUAAUUUUGGGAUGGAGGGAGUACAAUACAUGUAAACCAGGCCUACAACACAGGGAUGGAUCGCCUCCUGAGCUUAUAACAUAUAGUUAGACCGUUCCCGAGCAUGUAGUAUGUAUAGUUGGACCGCUACCAUGUAUGUUGGCCUACAACACAAAGUUGUACCACCUCAACCCAACUAUACUAUGUCAACAUAUGCACAAAACAAUAACAAGCAAGCACAACUAAUCAUAGCAAAUCUACUAGUAUACCAUAUCACUACAACAAAACAACAUCCUACACACAAGGAUACAUACUGCAGUACAAUGUACAAUGAGAAAACUCACCCCAACUAACUAGUAGAAGCUCAAAAGCAACCUUAGCAAUCAGAACAACUAACACACGCUACCUAGCUCCAAAACGAGACUAGAUCUUUGCUAAACACUUAAUUCUACUAAAGUUUGACCAAAAGUCAAUGGUCAACGGCCCAAAAGACAACUUUGAUGGGAACCAUAUCGUGGUCCAUCAUUUUCCACGACAUGGCAAUAUCUGGAAAAAACAGUCAUGAGAACCUCAUACACCACUACAUGGUAAGCAUAUCCCAACAUCUUGGGAACUGAUCCUGGACAACCUAAAGGAUUCAACCCUUAAUCUAUUAAGCCACACAAUCAUCUCAUCCAAAAAGCUUUCUUACACCAACCGAGUCAUAAAAAUCACUUCUUUAUAGUCGUGCAUGUCCAAUCCAUGUCUUUCCCAAGCUAGGUCAUAACAAUGGUGGAAAUGAGGUCAAAAAUCUCAUGCCUGAGCCAAAAACCAACCAAAUAUCAUAUAUAGAACACUAAACCUCAAAGGGACUUCAAGGAUCCAUAAAGUUGCCAACUUUAUGGAAUCCAUCCACUCAAACACUCCCAAACAUAGAGAAAAUGCACAAAAAUAUUAGAUCUGGAAGCAUAACUCAUAAAGAUUGGAACUUGGAGACUUACAAGAGUUUAGAAUAUGUGCUCCAAGGUGGUGAGGGAACUUGGUUCCUGGAUCCAUGCACCAUGAACACCUUCUUCUUCUUCAAGGUACCAAAUGGGACAUCUAAUGCAGGUAAUCGAUCCUUAAUUUUUUUUUACCUAAAUGUGAAUGGAAACCCUAAAUUUUAAGGUCACGACGUGAUUUUAGUUCGUGACAGACCUACUUUAGCGAUGACUACUUUAUACUGUAUCCGACGGAGUUUGAAAAAAGUAGUGAGAAGGUGCUUUUUGACUUGGUAUUAAGGAUCUUUGCUCUUGUUAAAAAAACACAAGUCAUUAAAAACUAUUUACUUCCACAACUUUUCUAGAUUCGAUGGUAUUCUCAUGCUAAAGCACCUCGUAUGUAAGCAGCCGAAAUACAAGCUCAAACCUCUGAUGAGGAAUAACAAACUUUAUGAGUUAGCUAUCUAUUUGGGUAAAAAGAUGUUAUUCUGCUUUAGGGAUUCCUAUAAUCUACUUCCUAGUAAACUUAGUGAGACACGUGGUCAUUUUAAGGCUCACGACCUGAGGGUUAAUGCCUCAUAAUGUGAGUUCAACAAUAAACCUAAUCUUGUGUUUUGAUCCUUAUUUAAGUGAAGUGGGAGGCUAGGGUUUGCACACCCUCAGCCUCUAUCACCUCCUUCCUUCCCAAAAUGUCCUUAGCCUAUAGUGUUGAUCUUAAGAGCUCUUUUGGUGAUUUUUGGCUCUUUGAAAUAGAAGAAGACUCUGUGGUGCCUACUUUUGGUCAUCAAGCUUCUACAUCUUCAUUCUUUAGUGCUUUUGGACCUAUGUAAGUCCUAAAGCUAUUGCAUUUAUCUAUUAUGCAUGCUAGAUCUUAGAUUUAUGUCCUUAUUUUCAUGUUUGGGUGGGAUGGCAUGCACGGGAUCCAUAAAUUCAGCAACUUUAUGGAUCAUUGAGUCAUAUUCUCUAGCAUAUACUUCAGAUCUGAGAUUUGGUGUUGGUUAAACUCCAAGCAUGAGUCUUGAUCUCAUUUUUCUUUUUAAGGACCUAGCUAGUGUUUAAGUCAUGCAUUGGACAUGCAUGACUGAAAAGCCAUGAUUUUAUGCACUUUAGGGUUGGGGGAGACCCUAUGGAAUGUGUCAAAGAGUGGCUUAAGGGAUUAAGAGCUUAAUGCUCAAAUCUGUCCAGAGUAGUUCUAACAACGUGAGCAUUAGCCUAUCACGUCGUGAGAUUAACCGGUCACAACUAUUUUGUCUUCUUUCAGUCAGAACGUGACCAAUGGGUGGUCACGACAUGACCGUAGGCUGGAGUUGACUACGGUUAAUUUUUUACCAUGGUUGACUUUCUGGGUGAAUUAGGGUUUUAAGGGUGUAGGCUGAUAGGGUAUGACUUUACCGCUGAUAGGUGCCUCAUUAUUCCCGUCUACCGUGGUGUGAGAGUUGUCGUAUUUUAGCUGCUAUCUGCAAGGUGAGUCUUCAUACGACUCUUACCUUUGUGGUAUUUACGUGUAUGACCAUAUGAGUCUUAGUUUCUGAUUGUUGUUUUAUCUAAUUUAAGCUGCUGAUAAAUUUGGGAUUGCUGAGAAUCCCUAUGGUUGCUGAUAACCCCUAGAACGUGUUGUAAAUCCGUAGGGCAUGCUGUUAGCCACUGGGAUUGCUAAUAAUCCCCAGGGUUGUUGUAACGACGUAAAUUUCAAAACAAUUUUUCACAUUUUAAAAACACACUUUCAUUCAUAAUUGUUAUAAAAAUGUCAUUGUAUCACAUAACAACUCAUAACAUCACAUCCCAAGAUCAUAAUAUGUAAAACUCCUCAUGUGUGUGUACUGAUCAAGCCGGCGCCUUCCCGCGAUCCUCACUGGUACCUGAAACACAUAACACAACACUGUAAGCAUAAAUGCUUAGUGAUUUACCCAAAAUACCACAUACAACACAUACGCCUUUCCAGGCCAUAACUCUGUGGAACCUUCCGGUCCAAGUGUCCCGGGGGACUUCCGUCCCGAAUCCCGGCAGACCUUCCGGUCCUACCCGUACCGACCUUCCAGUCCGUAACCUCCUGACAUUCCGGUCCUUAUCAUACAUAACAUACAUAACACAUACAUAUCACAUAUGAGCAUAUAGCACAUAUAUCUCAUAGCAUAUAAGACCUUCUGGUCACACUUAGGUACACUUCCAGGUACAGUAUAGUGAGAAGACUCACCUCAAUAUCUCGGAUAGUCUCGCACUCGAACACACUGGUCUAGCCCCCGCUUAAACACAUAACAAUACUCUCAAAUAAACAACAGCUCUCAAAGGCUAGAUUAAAUCCACUCUACAAUUUCCACAGAAGGGUAAAAGACCAUUUUACCCCUUCCUGACCCAAAAGUCCAAAGGUUGACCAAAACCCUAAAAGUCAACGGAAGUCAACAGAAGGCAGUACGCGGUGCGUACCUUCUCUGUACGCGGGGCAUACGCUGACGAACCGUAAUCGGGGUCUCAACCCCUUACAUUGUGCGUACUGAGAGUUACGACCAACGUAAGUCUCAAUUUCAGCCAUUCCAUGGAUUUUGGUCUUAAAUGGUUAAGACAAUCCUUCAACUUCAAGAUCUGACUCUCCUUAAGCCUCUUAUCCCAUAAAGUUGGAAUCUUUAUACCUUGGCAUGGCUGUAAAGGUCCCUACACCCUCUAACACCUUUCUUUUUUCCCUCCAAAGGUCUAGAUCUCAUGCAUGGCUCAAUAUUUACGUCCAAGAUUGCAUUUUUAUGAACAUACAACUCUUAUAGUCCUGAAAUAUGAUAGAUCUAGGCCAAUGGAGACCAUUUGCUCAUAAAGUCUCCAUUUUGGGACCAAAAACCCUAGAAAUUGGUCCAGGAAGCACACAACACAAAUGACAAGGCAAGUUUUCAGCUUUUUUACCUCAAGAAGAAGCUCCAACCAAUGACAAGCUCAGAUCUACUCUUUCCCACAAACUUCUAGCCUCCAAAAUGGCCUCUUCUUCUCUUCCACCACCUUAAAAUGACACUUAGAAGCUUAGAACACCAACACACUAGCUAGAAACGAAGGAGGACACUCUUUUAGGGUUUCACUCUCUGGAAUGGAGGCUGAGGUCAAGGCCAUAGCAUUCCUUUUAUAGUGCACCAGCCCCAAAUUAGGGUUUACACCUGGGCUCGCUACGCCCAGCGUAACCCUGCGUACACCCAACGUACCCAGGUGAUUCCGCGUCCAAAUUAAGCGCGCGAGUACGCGCAACGUACUCCUUUGUACGCCCAACGUACUCACUAGCCUGACUUUUUUACUUAAGGGACUUAACUUGACAACUUGGGAGAAGGAGAAGGGUUAAAUAGCUUUAUCUGAAUUUCGGGAUGUUACAAUUCUCCCCCACUAGAACCAGACUUCGCCCUCGAAGUCUCAUUUUGAAAACAAAUCCGGAUGCUGCUCCCUCAUCUCCGACUUCGGCUCCCAAGUCAACUCAGACCCCCUCCGAUGCUGCCACUGAACCUGAACCAGGGGCACCUCCUUGUUCCUCAGAACCUUGAUAUUCCGAUCCAAGAUUGUGAUCGGCCUCUCAACAUAAUUCAGACUCGUGUCCACCUGGAUAUCCUCCAACGGUACCACUGUCGACUCGUCGGCUAUACACUUCCUCAGCUGAGACACGUGGAAUGUUUCAUGAAUCUGGCCCAACUCCGCAGGUAGCUCUAAACGUUAUGCUACUCUGCCCACCCUCGCGAUCACCCUAAACGACCCAAUAUAACAGGGACCCAGCUUGCCCCUCUUCCUGAAUAGAAUCACUCCUUUCUAAGGAGACACUUUCAGGAGUACAAAAUCCCCGACCUGAAACUCGAGCUCGGAUCAUCGCCUGUCCGCGUAACUUUUCUAGCGACUCUGAACUGUCAACAACCUCUGCCUAACCUGCUGUAUAUGCUCUGUUGUAUGAAGCACUAUCUCAGUGCUUCCCAUCACUCGCUGCCCUACCUCUCCUCAACAGAUGGGAGUCUAACACCUCCUCCCAUACAACAACUCAAAGGGAGGCAUACCAAUGCUCGAAUGGUGGAUGUUGUUAUAAGAAAACUCAGCCAAUGGCAGAUACGUGUCCCAACUCCCUCCGAAGUCCAACACACAUGCCCGAAGCAUGUCUUCGAGCGUCUGAAUCGUCCGCUCACUUUUUCCCUCCGUAUGUGGGUGGUAAGUGGUACUGAAAUGCGGCCUUGUGCCCAACUCCUCAUGGAAAUUCUUCCAGAACCUGAAAGUAAAAUGUACAUCCCGGUCUGAUACAAUCGAGAUCAGCACUCCAUGCCACGAUACCACCUCCCUCACAUACAACUCUGCCAGCCUCUCGGCAGAAGAGCUCUCACUGAUAGCAAGAAAGUGAGCGCUCUUCGUUAGCCGGUCGACGAUCACCCAAAUUGCAUCGACACCCCUCGCGGUUCCUCGGCAACUUGGUGAUGAAAUCCAUAGAAAUUCAUUCCCACUUCCAUUGGGGAACCUCAAGUGGCUGCAACAUGCAAUGCGGUCGCUGGUGCUCGGCCGUAACCCUGCGACAGGUUAAGAACCUCUCAACAAACCAUGCUACAUCCCUCUUCAUACAUGGCCACCAAUAAUCCUUCUUCAAAUCCAAAUACAUCUUAGUGGCCCCGGGAUGGAUCGAAAAUCUCGAUUUAUGCGCCUCCUCCAUCAAGGUGGUGCGCGCUCCGCCUACAUACGACACCCAAAUCCGACCCUGAAGGGUUAUCAGCCCGCGACUAUCGGUAAUGAACUCCGGCACCUGCCCAAUCACUCGCUCCCUCUUACGGUUCUUCGGUCUCACGGCCUCUGCCUGGGCCUCCCGAAUGGUGUCCAACACCAGAGUCAUCACUUUCAACCACAUGCAAAUGCAUCGAAUUGGGGCGCUCUCCACCCUACGUCUCUGGGCAUCAACUACGACAUUAGCCUUGCCCGGGUGGUACAUGAUCUCAUAAUUGUAAUCCUUUACCACAUCUAGCCAUCUCCUCUGGCGCAUAUUUAGAUUGGGCUAGUCCAUCAAAUACUUCAAACGCUUGUGGUUUGUGUAGAUGGUACACCAAACCCCAUACAAAUAGUGAUGCCAGAUCUUGAGGGCGAACACCACUGCCCCCAACUCCAAAUCGUGGGUGGGAUACCUCAUCUCAUGAAGCUUCAGCUGCCUCGAUGCAUACACUAUCACAUGUCCCCUCUGCAUAAGUACUGCACCCAACCCCGAUAUCGAUGCGUCACAAUACACCACAAAAUCCUCCAUCCCUUCUGGGAGGGCUAGCACUGGGGCUUCGCACAAUCUCUGGAGAAGUGUCUCAAACGAGGUCUGCUGCUCCGGACCCCAUGAAAAAGCAACACCCUUCCGGGUCAACCUGGUGAGAGGCACGACGAUCUUGGAGAAACCCCUGAUAAAUCUACGAUAAUAGCCGGCCAACCCUAGAAAACUUCUAAUCUCGGUGGGUGAUCUCGGAACCUCCCAUCUCAUAACCACCUCAAUCUUGUCCGUAUCGACCAAUAUCCCAUCCAGGUUAACGAGGUGUCCCAAGAACUGGACCUCUCAUAACCAAAAAUCACACUUGGUGAAUUUGGCAAAAGCCUCUCCGAUCUCAAUACCUCGAGAAUCUCUCUCAGAUGUUCCUCAUGCUGCUCUCUAGAUCUCAAGUACACCAAAAUAUCAUCAAUGAACACGAUCACCGACUGAUCCAACAUCGGCCUACACACCGUGUUCAUGAGAUCCAUGAACGCUGCCGGUGCAUUGGUGAGCCCAAAAGGCAUCACCACGAACUCGUAAUGCUCAUAACGAGUUUUGAAUGCCUUCUUCUGGAUAUCUUCAUCCCGAACCCUCAUCUAAUGAUAUCCCGACAUCAAGUCUAUCUUGGAGAACCAAGAUGCCCCUGCAACUAAUCGAACAGAUCGUCGAUCCUCGGUAACGGAUAACGGUUCUUGACCGUCAACUUGUUCAACUCCUGGUAAUCAAUGCACAUCCGGUGUGAACCAUCCUUUUUCUUGACAAAAAGGAUCGGCGCUCCCCAAGGUGAGCUACUCGGUCUAAUAAACCCUAUCCCCAAUAGCUCAUGAAGCUGCGAGGACAAAUCCUGCAUCUCUGGUGGCGCAAGGCGAUAGGUGCUGCCCCUGGAACUAAAUCGAUAUGGAACUCUACUUGCCUCUUGGGAGGCACACCCGGCAAUUCCUCAGGAAAACAUCCGGGAACUCGCACACUAUCAGAACCUCAUCAAUCGAACUUGGCCUCCCAGCAGCCACUCGUGUGUCCAUCAUAUAGGCUACAAACCCGCUGCAGCCCUACUGCAAACUCUGUCUCGCUUUGGUAGCCGAACAAAAUGCUGACCUGCAUCGGGUACCCUCUCCGUACACCGUAAGUAUUCCCCCACUAGGGUCUCGUAUCGUCACCAAUUGAUGCUCGCAGUCUAUAACAGCUCCAAAUCGGCUCAACUAAUCCAUGCCCACUAUGACACAUACGUCCCCCAUCGUAAUCGGGACUAGAUCUAUCGGGAACUCCACACUGAAGAAAUCAAGUAUACAUCCUCGAAUCACAUCUGUAGCAUACACCGCUCGCUCUUCAGCUAUAGAAACUCGCAGAGGUCGACUUAAAGCCUCUCGUCAGAUACUGAUGUGCUGACUAAUGCCAAGGAAACAAAUGACCGACUCGCACCCGAGUAAAAUAACACCAAAGCAGGUACAUAAUUCACAAGAAAAGUACCUAUGCAUAUCAUAAUAUAAGCACAACACCUCAAUCUCAACAUAAAUAAAUGAAAGAAUACAUACCAGCCACAACAUUGCGCACUGCACGGACCUCCUCUGCUAUCAACUGGAAGGCUCUCAUGCGAGCCUUCGGUGCCUCGGCCUUCACCGGCCGAACCUCAGUAGCGCGCACAGCGGCAGGGGCAGAUCCCUGCUGAGCUCCUUGUGCUGUCCCUCGCAGCUGCGGACACUUGGCCUUCCGAUGGCCCGUUUGGUUGCAAUGAAAGCAAACCAUGAAUCCCUUGGGGAAAUCCUUGGAUAUAUGCUCCUCCUUGCCAGAUUUUUAGCAAGCACCAGAUCGACAAACUCCAUCGUGUCCCUUGCCGCACAUUCCGCAAGUGCGGCCCUUCUGGCCUCCAGAUCUUGAAUCGGCGGGCUUUGCCCGCUUGGCUGCCGGCUAAGACUGUGCUGGCUGCCUGUUCAUCCCCUGAGACUCGACCUCCUCCCUGGCCUGAGUCUCCAACUCAAUCUCCCUCUUCCUGGCAUUUUCCUGAAGCUCAGCAAAUGUAUGGUAAGUCGAGUUCAAUACGAACUCCCGAAUAUCCCUCCUCAGAAUGCUCAAAUAUCGGCUCAUGCGUGCCUGCUCGGUAGACACCUGCUCAAGGCAGAACAUCGCCAUCUCAUGAAACUUCUGGGUAAUCACAGUAACCGAAUCAGUACCCUGCUUGAGGGUCAAGAACUCCUGAGCCAACCGCUCCCUCUCCACAGGGGGAACAUACUUGUCUCUGAACAUGGCGGUGAACCUCUCGCAGGUCACCUCAGAAAUCUCCACAAGAGUGAAGCUUGCCGUCACGAACUUCCACCAAUCCUUCGCUUCCAAGCGAAGCUGGUUCAGUGCGAACCGUACCCUCAGAUGCUCCAGACAAGAACACGUGUAGAAGCAUCCCUCGAUAUCAGAAAUCCAUCUCAUCGCAGCGAUCACAUCCUGCGUCCCAUCAAACUCUGGUGGCUUCGUGUUGCUGAAUAAGAUCAUUAUAUAGUUAGGGUUACACUUCAUGAAAAUCGAAUAGCCCUUUCUAUCACACAUAGUGGCCGAUUUUCUCCAAGAGUAAGAUCAUUAUAUAGUUAGGGUUACACCAUGUAAACCCUAAUUUUCAUGGCCUUUCAUUUCCAUGAUCCAUGGGUACAAAUACACCAUGGAGCAUCCAUUGAGCAUCUUAUGGGUUUUAGCCCAACUUGACAAUCCAUGGAGCAUUAGCCCACUAUAUAAGUAUGGAUGAUUUACACAAUCAACCCAUAUAUUUAAUUAGUCUUCUUUUGAUCACUUAAUUAAUCCUAGAUUAAUUCUUGAUCAAUACUAAUUAAAUAAUCUUAUUAAUAUUAUUAUUAAUAUACUAGAACUUAUAAUAUAUUAAUAACCAUAAGUGUCUUAUUUCUCUCAUUAUAGUCUAUCCAAGUGCAUGAUGCCAUGCAACCCAAAUGGACCAUGCCGGGUCGGGUCAAGUCUUACCAAUUAUAGUUAUGGACUUAGACAUUAAUCCAAUAGUCUCCCACUUAGAUAAGUCUAACACUAUUAUUGCAUAUGAUUUCAAGAACCGACUAGCAACNUCUGACCUUGUUGACGAACUCUGACCUUUGUCAAUGACUUGUCCAUUAGAUAAGGGAUCAUAUAUUCCUCCAUUCUAGAUAUCAUAUGGACUGAGACAUGGAUUAUAAUCAUUCUCUCUGUCCAUUUGUUGUUUCCCGAUUUCCGAUUUAUGACGACUGACUAAUUGAACAAAUCAAAUCAGUCCAGGCCCAGCCGAGCACUUACAUUUGUCAUCACCAAAUCAUCGACGGGCCCGCAAAUAUCGCUUUUAUCCCGAAGGUAAAAGGAAUGGAUUGUUGUACUACUUGUUGGAUCAUACACAAAGGCACGUUUUAUAACAUCAAGUUACUAAUGCGUUUUCGUUGCAAUCAAUGUACUAUCAACUCAUAGUAACAACUCAUAUCUCUAGGUUUGAAGAAUAUAAGAUAUUAUCGUCUCAUGAUCACUCGUGAUAAAAUCCAUGAAGUGAUUCCAAUGAGCGCGGGUUGAAUCCAAUACUCAGAACUUAUGAGCACUCAUGAGUGUUGUAGCCCUUUGUCCAACACCUUAGACCUCUACAAGCCAACCCAUGACAGUCUUAAUUCAUAUCUACUUCCAACAUAUGACCGACUGUGGAUGGUUUGAAUAACUUAGUCAAUCAGAACAAUGACCUAGUUAUUCUGGAAGUCAAAACAUGCAAGGUGAAACACAAUAAUAAUCGAAUCCAAUAUGGUCUCAGAACUUAUUAAUAUAAAUAAAAAAACAUUUUAUUUAUCACCAUAUGAUUACACAUUAUUCAUUGAAUACUGUUUCAGCUAUCAACUUUAUUCUUGAAAGAACACAAUAGUUGUCCCAUGCUCCAAGCAUGUACACUAUGUUUUCUAAACACUAGUCAUGCCAUACACCAAGUAUGCAUACUAUGUUUGUCUAUGAUCUUUACUUUGUUAAAGAGAUCGAUUGAACAUAACUUCAAUGAUUCUCUUUUCACACUCCCAAAUCCUUACUGCAAAUGCAAGAAUUCCAAAUUCAUGCCAUUUACUGAAAUCUGUUAGAUUCUAAACUUAUAUGCAUUGAUCCUCUUGUAAUUAUUAUGCACGAAGUCACAAAGACUUGACAACAAACAUUACAGAGCAUUUCAAAGGAGAUAAACUCCUUUGAAACAUUCUUCUUGCAUUAAGUUUCCUAAUCUUACACAGAUUUUUUGAUAAACUUCCACCUAUGGGAUCAUUUCCAUAUUCCCCUUUUGACUAUCACUUCUGAACAAGAGUUUCCUUUUUUCAGAAUAUGUCAAUAUGGUCCUUCCAAUAAUUAAAACUAUACUUCCAACUGUCCUUGAGCAACCAAUCUUUGGUAAACCUUAGAUUGUCCUCGACAAUUGUUUAAUCCUUUUAGUCAUAUCCAGUUCUAAACCUUUUCCCUUCUUAAUGCCCCAGGCAUUUGGAAAAUUUUAGAAAGGAUGAAUAUAGCACAUGUAAUCGAUCCUAUAUCUGAAGCAUAUGGGACACGAUUCAUGAUGUCUCACAUAAAGACUAAACCAGUCUUUUGCUAUAAUAUUUCCAUUUGCCAAGUUCUCAUAAUUUCAGAUUAUGAAAAGGGAUGUCGUAAUCAUAAUCGAAUUUUAGAACGCAAAUAAUAGACCCAUAUAUAGAAUUUCCUUGACUAAAUACGAUUAAAACCCCACUGUAAGCUUUUAUAUUUGAGAUGAAGUAUAAUUUCCUCUCCCUUAAUUAUAACAAAACAACCUUUUCCCAAUUGAAACCUUUUGUUUUCUAUAAUUAACAUUGCUAACUUGCAAGCUUUAUCAUAAUUAUCAUGCUCGCACUAACAUGAUGAUUAUUAGCAUAACACUUAUGCUCCCACUAGCUUUGACAUGUACUCAUAAAUCAGCUGAACUUCUUGAAAAACAAUACUUUAUUGACUUUUCUUACCAAAGUUCAGAUUUAUGAUACUAGAUUGCUUUGAUAAAACUUUAUCAAUAUCAUACACCUUAUCUUAGAUAGCUCACAGGUGUGUCUAAACAAUUUUAAAAACUAUGAAAAGGGAUGUCAUAAUCAUAGUAUUGAUUGUUUAGACAUUUGCCACUUCUCACAAGUCCAUGUUAGUGUGCCGGUUAACCACACUCGCUCCAUUAACGACUUUAAGAAUGCAAAGAUUGCUAUCAACUUAAAAUCUACUUAGUGAAAGUAUUUCAUCACCAUCAUUUUCAUGAAUCGGAGAGAAACCUUAUGACACUUAGAUUUAAUGGUGUAUGUGUUCUUAUCCAUGUGAAUUGUCAAAACCAUAGUCACAACACAAGGCUAAUGACAAAUUCAAACUCAUAUGGACUGAACUCAAUCUUAAUUUCUUGCCAUCUGGCAGCUCAAGGGCCUGCCAUUGCUUCCAAGUUGUUGUGCAACCAAUUGAGAACUCUAAGAACUCAUAUGCAAAGCCAACUUUAAUUGGAAUGGGCACAGAAUAUGUCAACACGAUAGG